AACGAACGCUGGCGGCAUGCCUAACACAUGCAAGUCGAACGGGAUCUUCGGGUCUAGUGGCGCACGGGUGCGUAACGCGUGGGAAUCUGCCCUUUGGUUCGGAAUAACAGUUGGAAACGACUGCUAAUACCGGAUGAUGACGAAAGUCCAAAGAUUUAUCGCCAGAGGAUGAGCCCGCGUAGGAUUAGCUAGUUGGUGUGGUAAAGGCGUACCAAGGCGACGAUCCUUAGCUGGUCUGAGAGGAUGAUCAGCCACACUGGGACUGAGACACGGCCCAGACUCCUACGGGAGGCAGUAGUGGGGAAUAUUGGACAAUGGGCGAAAGCCUGAUCCAGCAAUGCCGCGUGAGUGAUGGAGGCCUUAGGGUUGUAAAGCUCUUUUACCCGGGAUGAUAAUGACAGUACCGGGAGAAUAAGCUCCGGCUAACUCCGUGCCAGCCGCCGCGGUAACAC
rnacentral:rRNA from 1 species